UACGUAGGGGGCAAGCGUUAUCCGGAUUUAUUGGGUUUAAAGGGUGCGUAGGCGGUCCGUUAAGUCAGCGGUCAAAUACGGGGGCUCAACCUGCGUCCGCCGUUGAAACUGGCGUUCUUGAGUGGGCGAGAAGUACGCGGAAUGCGUGGUGUAGCGGUGAAAUGCAUAGAUAUCACGCAGAACCCCGAUUGCGAAGGCAGCGUACCGGCGCCCAACUGACGCUGAAGCACGAAAGCGUGGGUAUCGAACAGG
rnacentral:rRNA from 1 species